rnacentral:rRNA from 1 species
AUUGAACGCUGGCGGCAGGCCUAACACAUGCAAGUCGAGCGGCAGCGGGAAAGUAGCUUGCUACUUUUGCCGGCGAGCGGCGGACGGGUGAGUAAUGCCUGGGAAAUUGCCCAGUCGAGGGGGAUAACAGUUGGAAACGACUGCUAAUACCGCAUACGCCCUACGGGGGAAAGCAGGGGACCUUCGGGCCUUGCGCGAUGGGAGAUGCCCAGGUGGGAUUAGCUAGUUGGUGAGGUAAUGGCUCACCAAGGCGACGAUCCCUAGCUGGUCUGAGAGGAUGAUCAGCCACACUGGAACUGAGACACGGUCCAGACUCCUACGGGAGGCAGCAGUGGGGAAUAUUGCACAAUGGGGGAAACCCUGAUGCAGCCAUGCCGCGUGUGUGAAGAAGGCCUUCGGGUUGUAAAGCACUUUCAGCGAGGAGGAAAGGUUGUUGGCUAAUACCCAGCAGCUGUGACGUUACUCGCAGAAGAAGCACCGGCUAACUCCGUGCCAGCCGCCGCCGUAACAC